rnacentral:rRNA from 1 species
GACAGAGGGUGCGAACGUUGUUCGGAAUUACUGGGCGUAAAGCGCAUGUAGGCGGCAGCGCAAGUCGGGCGUGAAAUCCCACGGCUCAACCGUGGAAGUGCACUCGAAACUGCGCAGCUAGAGUCCUGGAGAGGAAGGUGGAAUGCUUGGUGUAGAGGUGAAAUUCGUAGAUAUCAAGCGGAACACCGGUGGCGAAGGCGGAUCUCUGGGCCGAUACUGACGCUGAGGAGCGAAAGCGUGGGGAGCGAACAGG